AAUCAACGCUGGCGGCGUGCCUAACACAUGCAAGUCGAACGCGGAAGCCCCGCAAGGGGCAAGUAGAGUGGCAAACGGGUGAGUAACACGUGGGUGACCUGCCUUCGAGUGGGGGACUAACGUCCCGAAAGGGACGCUAAUACCGCGAUGACAUCCUGCCUUUGGAGAGGUGGAGAUCAAAGCCGGGGUAUCGCAAGACCUGGCGCUUGAAGAGGGGCCCGCGCCUGAUUAGCAGUUGGUGGGGUAACGGCUCACCAAGGCGACGAUCAGUAUCCGGCCUGAGAGGGCGGACGGACACACUGGGACUGAGACACGGCCCAGACUCCUACGGGAGGCAGCAGUGGGGAAUUGUUCGCAAUGGGCGCAAGCCUGACGACGCAACGCCGCGUGGAGGACGAAGAUCUUCGGGU
rnacentral:rRNA from 1 species